GUACUCGCUUCGGUGGUACAUAUACUAAAAUUGGAACGAUACAGAGAAGAUUAGCAUGGCCCCUGCGCAAGGAUGACACUGUGUGUCGGUGGCACAGUGGUU
rnacentral:snRNA from 1 species